CUCUAUUUUCUUCUUUUUUUCUUCAUUUGCUGUGUAUGGUUUUGUUAUGCAUGAUUUUUUCUUUUAUUUUUGUUUUGUCCAUCAAGCUGUUGUCUUCUUUUUCUUUGGUAAACUUCUCUCAAGUGUCAUUAUAUGUUUGAUAUUGUUUUUGUCCAUGUUUUUUUUUUCUUGUUGGGGGGUUGGGAAUCCUUUUAAGUAGAGGAAUUUUGGGGG
rnacentral:lncRNA from 1 species